rnacentral:lncRNA from 1 species
AUUAGUAGAUGGGUGGGUCAAAGCUGUGGGGACGCUCUGGAGCAAAUGUUUUAUUUUGUAUCAGACAGAGGGUGGGCAGGACCAUUUUUGACAGGUUUUCAUCACACUUGUAGAUGGUCCUGAUUGCUCUGCAGGAAGAUGUACAGGCAAGACGAACCCAGAGGAAGCUGUUCUAUUUGUUUUCUUAGCCACAUUGAAUUUGAUUCUGGAACCUUCUUUUCUGUGAAUUCUCUUCAUUUUUAGUGGCUUUGUUUUUCUUUUUGGUUUGUGCUUUGAAGACUCACUUUGGUUCUUGGUUCUGCAUGACUUUCUGAUGUUGAAAAUCUAUAUGAGAAAUGUUUCUACCAGGCAGAUUUGGGAAGUAAUUUUGUUAAAAGUUUGAGUUGUGCAUUUUGAUGCCCAGGAACCAUUGACUUCAAAUGUACCCAUGGUGCACUCUACACAUGGAGGCUGUGUCCUCAGUGUUAAACAUGAAGGCAGAGGAAAGCCUUUGCCUAACAUUUUCUUUUCAGAAAAUAGCCCGACUCACCUUACUGAAUUGAGUUUUUUCUAGGAAUGAAAUCAAGAGGAAUAAAUGAAGCUGUCUCUGCUCCAGCUCGAGUGAGUCACAGGGACCAGGAGUGGUAUGAUGCAGAAAUUGCCCGGAAAUUGCAAGAAGAAGAACUUUUGGCUACUCAUAUGGACAUAAGAGCAGCUCAGGUUGCCCAGGAUGAGGAAAUUGCUCGACUUCUGAUGGCUGAAGAAAAAAAAGCUUACAAGAAAGCC